GUAGGUGGCAAGCGUUGUCCGGAAUUAUUGGGCGUAAAGCGCGCGCAGGCGGUUCUUUAAGUCUGAUGUGAAAGCCCACGGCUCAACCGUGGAGGGUCAUUGGAAACUGGAGAACUUGAGUACAGAAGAGGAAAGCGGAAUUCCACGUGUAGCGGUGAAAUGCGUAGAGAUGUGGAGGAACACCAGUGGCGAAGGCGGCUUUCUGGUCUGUAACUGACGCUGAGGCGCGAAAGCGUGGGGAGCAAACAGGAUUAGAUACCCUGGUAGUCCACGCCGUAAACGAUGAGUGCUAAGUGUUAGGGGGGUUUUACCGCCCCCCUUAGUGCUGCAGCUAACGCAUUAAGCACUCCGCCUGGGUAGUACGGCCGCAAGGCUG
rnacentral:rRNA from 1 species